CGGGCGAGGUGCCGGUCUAAGUCCCUUGGAACGGGGCGUCAUAGAGGGUGAGAAUCCCGUAUGCGACCGGCGGCCGAGCCCAUGUGAAACCCCUUCGACGAGUCGAGUUGUUUGGGAAUGCAGCUCAAAACGGGUGGUAAAUUUCAUCUAAAGCUAAAUACCGGCCAGAGACCGAUAGCGCACAAGUAGAGUGAUCGAAAGAUGAAAAGCACUUUGGAAAGAGAGUCAAAAAGUACGUGAAAUUGUUGAAAGGGAAGCGCUUGCGACCAGACCUGCCCGCGGGUGAUCAACCGUCCUUCUGGGCGGUGCACUCGCCCGCGAUCAGGCCAGCAUCGGUUCGGGCGGUCGGAUAAAGGCCUUGGGAACGUAGCUCCCCUCGGGGAGUGUUAUAGCCCUUGGUGCAAUGCGGCCUGCCCGGACCGAGGACCGCGCUUCGGCUAGGAUGCUGGCGUAAUGGUCGUAAGCGGCCCGUCUUGAAACACGGACCAAGGAGUCGACCAACUAUGCGAGUGUUUGGGCGUCAAACCCACACGCGCAAUGAAAGUGAACGGAGGUGGGAACCCCUCGCGGGGCGCACCAUCGACCGAUCCAGAUGUCUUCGGAUGGAUUUGAGUACGAGCAUAGCUGGUCGGACCCGAAAGAUGAUGAACUAUGCCUGAAUAGGGUGAAGCCAGAGGAAACUCUGGUGGAGGCUCGCAGCGGUUCUGACGUGCAAAUCGAUCGUCAAAUUUGGGCAUAGGGGCGAAAGACUAAUCGAAUCAU
rnacentral:rRNA from 1 species